rnacentral:pre_miRNA from 1 species
UGUGUGCAUAUAUAUAUAUGUGUGUGUGUGUGUGUCUAUAUAAACACACACACACAUACAUAUAUAUAUAUAUACAAACA